CCCUUAGAUGUCCUGGGCCGCACGCGCGUUACACUGAUGCAUUCAACGAGCUUAUAACCUUGGCCGAGAGGCCUGGGCAAUCUUGUUAACGUGCAUCGUGAUAGGGAUAGAUUAUUGAAAUUAUUAAUCUUGAACGAGGAAUUCCUAGUAAACGCAGAUCAUCAAUCUGCAUUGAUUACGUCCCUGCCCUUUGUACACACCGCCCGUCGCACCUACCGAUUGAAUGUUCCGGUGAGCUCUUCGGACUGCGCGGUCUGCAGUUUCUGCGUUCCGUGCGGAAAGUUGCGCAAACCUUAACAUUUAGAGGAAGGAGAAGUCGUAACA
rnacentral:rRNA from 1 species